rnacentral:rRNA from 1 species
AUUGAACGCUGGCGGCAAGCUUAACACAUGCAAGCCGAGCGGAGUGAUGGUGCUUGCACUAUCACUUAGCGGCGGACGGGUGAGUAAUGCUUAGGAAUCUGCCAUUUAGUGGGGGACAACAUUCCGAAAGGAAUGCUAAUACCGCAUACGUCCUACGGGAGAAAGCAGGGGAUCUUCGGACCUUGCGCUAAAUGAUGAGCCUAAGUCGGAUUAGCUAGUUGGUGGGGUAAAGGCCUACCAAGGCGACGAUCUGUAGCGGGUCUGAGAGGAUGAUCCGCCACACUGGGACUGAGACACGGCCCAGACUCCUACGGGAGGCAGCAGUGGGGAAUAUUGGACAAUGGGCGAAAGCCUGAUCCAGCCAUGCCGCGUGUCUGAAGAAGGCCUUCGGGUUGUAAAGGACUUUUGUCAGGGAGGAAAUCCCUAGCGCUAAUACCGCUGGGGGAUGACAGUACCUGAAGAAUAAGCACCGGCUAACUACGUGCCAGCCGCCGCGGUAAUAC